AGAUAUGGGAGAACAAGUUAAAAUUUCGUUCGUUCAUCUUUUACUUGUGUUGGCCACCAUAGACGCUUCUUCAACAUCACCAGAUUUGCUUUCAAGAUGGCCGACUGGAGACUUCCUUUGGAUGGACGUAAUCUGUCAAACAUGUUGUCUAGGGAAUGGUUCACUCCGUAGUACGUGUAUCCAUAGACACUGUCUCCGGCAUGAAAAUCUGUGUCCAGUCCGUGAACUGAAAUAGAUAUUCAUUAAGAAGUGACGAAUCAUUUAUCAGUGAAAAUACAAUUUAAUCAAAGAUUU